CUGCAAGUGGCUUUCCUUCCAGCAUCUCCUCCUUUGUCCUCCCCUGUUCCCAUCUUUGUCACCGUUUGGAGUAGCACGGGGACUCUGCCACAGGCAGCACUUUAUAAAUAGCGGAGAUAAAAGGCUUUUCCUGUUGGACCACUGAGUGAGGUUCACAUCGUUUUCCAGAUCCAAAUAAAACUCUUUUCUCCUCACUCAGCAGAAAUGGUCAGUAUUUUCCCAUCAGAGGACCUAAUCUGAAGUUAAUGGACACCUGCCUAGUGGUUUCAAGUUGUUUGCAUCCAGCCCAGAGCAGUUGCUGGGGGCCAGUGGCACAGAGCUGCUGCUAACCGCCCUCCAAACAGGGAUGUUAAAAAUUAAAAGGGCUUAAUGGCUGUACCAGCAUGUCCUCUGACCUGCAGUGGUACAUGUGCUUCCUGAUUAAACAGCAAUGCCUCAGCUAUGUGCAUGGGGCUCAGUUUUGCAACACCUGAAAACAAAUAUUCCCUACCAAGCAGGGAGGCUAAGAAAUUGGGAGAGAAAUACAUGGACCGUAUGACCAGCUCUGCAGUCUGCAAAGAGGAUCAACCCAGCUGUCAGAUCAGUGCUGGGUGUUGGGCAGUAGGAGCACCUGCUUUGGAGGGCCAGAUGAGGAUCAGAACAUGGAAAAUUCCUUUUUGUGGUUGUGUCUCCUUUUUUCCAAAUUGCCUUGUAUUGAGAGAAAAGAAUGAAUGGAAUUAAAUUAAUUUGUUAAAGCUGGCAGAAAGCUGCAAAGAAAGAAUGGCUGAAACCAUCCCAGUGUCUCACCUGCACCGCUGAUCACCCCAUCAUGGAUCACAGUCUGCACCACAGCUCCCACUGGAGGCCACCGUAACAACAGGGUCUGCAGUCCCAGAUGGACUCACGGCAUGUCAGUUGCAACCAGUAUUUCUGAAUCCUGGAAUUAUUUGUAAGAAUUGAUGAACAACUUGGAGAAUAAGCAAGAUGUCAAAGAAAAAUAAACUGUGCUCACAAAUAGCCAUCAACGGAAAGGUAAGGUGUAAAUAACAACCCAUUCUCUUAUGUACCCAGUCUAACAGGCAGCUGCAGAAGUAAAUAAGACAGAAAAUGCACAGGAUUUGACUCUCACAUAACACAAUCUUCAGCUUUUAAUCAAAAUAUGUGGUAAACAACGUGUGGAAUUUCUUUACAGACACCUGAAAGCACUGGGGCCUGGUGAAUGGGAAGGAUUCAUUCCAUUAAAUGCCCAGUGUCUCAGAGCUCUCAUUUGGUUCAAUUCCGUUGUCCAGAGGAAGGACCUUCCCACUGAGCAUAAGGAAAGUAGGAAGUUUUUGGUGCUCCAAUUCAGCUAAGGACACUUUGAAAUCACAAAGGCGUUCCAAAAUGAUCAAACUGAAAUGCUGAUAAAGAAAGUUUCUCUGAGGUCAAAAAUCAAUGGGAGGGAGCAAAAUCAGUGCUGGUGUUUUUUCUUUUAAAUAUCUAAUACAUUGUUUUUAACACACUUAACCAAUUCAAACAAGAUGUGACUUUGCCAAUGGAUUGUCAUUAAUGCUCCCACCUUCCUAUCAACAACAGAGCCAGAGACAGCAGCAUUGCACUCCAAAUAUUUUCACCUGGAACUGUACUGAUGGUGAGAAAGCACUUCAGGAGACAGAGAUCAAAGCUUAUUUCUCUUCAGACUCCACUGCAAGCAUCAGGAAGACUCUCACAAGAUGAAAAGGCUGGGAAAGCAAGAAGGGAGCUUACACCUCUUAAAGGAGCUAUCAGCAGAAACCUCAAAACGCAGCGCUAGCCAAUGGCCCUCCGCUGAGACUCGCUUUCAUGUGAUAGAUUGCCAAAUACUCCAAGGAUGAUAAAUGCUGAACUUUGAAUGAUUAUUCUAACUCAGAGGAAGAAAAGAAGGCUUAUGCCUGGCAUUGUGGAAAAUGUAAUCAGAUGUCCCUGACACAUUAGCAGUCAAGUGUUUGUCCUGGAAUGAAAGAGAGUAGUUUAACUGGGAUUAUCAAAACAUAUUUACUUUUUUUUUUUCAGAAUUAAGGAAAGAAAAGCCUUGACAACUGAACUUGCUUACAGGGAAAAAGACUUCAAAUCAUAUCUGUGAGUUAGGAGAGAUGCAUUUUCUAUGGGGAAAAAAAGAAAUCAUAUUGAUCAUAGAGAAACAUUAUCACCAUUUGGCAACGGAGAGGUAGGAGAGAGCUUACAAAGUGUGAUCUCACUUUAAAGAUGGGCUUUGGAGAAAAUUGGAAUAUUCUAGAAGGUUCAUGCAGAGACAGGUUACACCUUAUGGAGAAAUCAGAAAAUACCUGAAGAAAAGAUAAUUGGACAGUCCCUGGCUGCCAUCCCCUUCUCCAGCCACAGCAUGUGCUUAAG
ensembl:lncRNA